rnacentral:tRNA from 1 species
GGGCCCGUAGCUCAGCAAGGCCCAGAGCGGCGGGCUCCAGACCCGUAGGCUCCGUGUAGAGGCGGAAGUCGUGGGUUCAAAUCCCACCGGGCCCACCA